AGGGGUUUUGACCAAGUGAUGCUCUUGAAAGGACUGAAAGAAGAGGAUGUGGUAAAUUGUCUUCAGAGAAAAACCUUCUCAAAAGGUCUCAAAACAGCUUGAAGAAUGGUCUGGGAUCUUAGGACUGAGAGAUCCUCUGGCUGAGAGAAGCUACACCACAUCAGUGCUGGAUAUCAACCACAAACAGUUUCCAGACACGAGAGAAGAAGAUCACGAUGGGGAGAUGAAACCAGUUUAGAUGUGAUGAUGGGAAUCAUUAUUUUCUGGAACAGUAUCACAUGUCUUAUAUGCAUCACAUGAUCUGUAUCACAGUUGACUGGAUGGAUUAUUUUUACUUUUAAGGACAUUUCAUCACUCAUCUGUGUGAACUGAUUAAUUUAUGAUAUUAAUGAAUUUUUGAUCCUUUAUUAUUUUCCUUGAAUUGUGUUUGUCUUGAAGCUACUUUAUCAACUUCAUAGUCUAUGCUUCAAUAAAAUUAAUAUGGUGAA